rnacentral:lncRNA from 1 species
AAGGUGCAAAGAGAGAGUGUUUGUUCAUAGUAUCAGUGUGCUUCAGCAAUAAUUGGAAGAAGCUGGUGUAGAGAUCAGUUUAUAACUUCUUAUUAGGUUUCCUUAUCAGAGUACCAAGUUGUAAUCAUGCUUGACUUUUGUUGAUGGAAAACUUCAACUAAGUUGGCUUAUUAUGAAACUUCUCGGAAUGUUGCAUAGAAUCAUUGUUGGUCAAGUUAUGAAAUGCUGUAUCCCUUUAAUGUGGUUUCAGUGUUUCGCUCUGAACUAAGGCAGUAAUCCUUUUAAGGAUG